ensembl:lncRNA
UUUGUCUGUGUCUAUAUGUCAGGUCGGGUCUUAGACUCCACCUCUCUGGGAACUCCCAGGCCCUCCAAGGCCUAUCUCCCCUCACCACACUCCCUGCCGGUGACUGAUGCCCUCAGGGGUCGGUGCAUUGGUGGUUCUUGGUGUCCGGGGCUGGGCGCUCAGGUAUGUACCGGCUCACUCCCGGUGGCUACCUGGCGGGGCCUGGCGCCUGUUUCUCGGUCAGGCCUCCUCCGGGGUGCGGGGGGCCCUCGGGCCUCCGGCCUCUGGGCCUGCGGCUCGGUUCACUCUGGCACAGCUGGCUGCCGGCAGAGCCAGCGGGCACGCCGGUGCAGCCCCCUCUAGCUUCUGCUCGGUGGCUACUGGGUGACGCCUCGUCUGGGGAUCCUCAGCCCUUCCCAUGAGGGUGGCACGGAUGCCCCUCCGGUGGUCCUCCUUGGGCUCUCGCACUCUGGGGCCUCUGGAUGUCUGGGGCCUGGAUCUCCUCCAUGCCUGCUUCAUGCCCUGGGGGACGGGGCUAUGGCUCGCUACAUCCUAUUGCAGACCAUUACAUGUGGAAACCAUUUGAAUACAAGCGCGCUGAUCCACACAGGUAUGCACACGGGUGUUCACUGCUCGUAGACUUAAAUUACACCUUUCUUGGCUGCUACUUCAAAGCACAUUGUGCGCUGUCUGUCCUGUGUGCUGCACAACAACAUUGAAUUUUUAGUAUUUACUGCUGUUUGCACUUAGCUAGAUUAAUGCGAUGGUGUUGUGUUUAGUAUGUUGCUUUGGUUUUUUUGUUUUUUGUUUUUUUGUUUUUUUUUUGCUUGUUUUCUAUUCUUCUCCUCUCAACAGGUGAUCCAGGAGAUUUUUUUUCUCCCCCCCUUUCUCACUGUCCCUCUCCCCUUCUGUUUUUCUUUUCCUUCCUCUUUCUCUCUCCCUCUGUCCUGUCUGUAACAUCUGAAAAUAAAAUAUAAUAAAUAAUAAAAACAAAGGUCGAUCAAAUGGACCAAUACGGCAAUGCCACGAUGAUCCAUUUGGCAAAGUAAAUCCUUUGGGUAUCCUUGUUGGUCUUCAGACAACAAUUCUGAUGGCUAAAGAACCAAAUGGGACAGGCCAAAAAAAAAAAAAAAAAAGAGAAAUUCUACUUUUAGACACUUAGUCACAAACCCAUAAUUUCUUCCCAGU